rnacentral:rRNA from 1 species
UGGGGAAUUUUGGACAAUGGGCGAAAGCCUGAUCCAGCAAUGCCGCGUGUGUGAAGAAGGCCUUCGGGUUGUAAAGCACUUUUGUCCGGAAAGAAAUCCUUGGCUCUAAUACAGUCGGGGGAUGACGGUACCGGAAGAAUAAGCACCGGCUAACUACGUGCCAGCAGCCGCGGUAAUACGUAGGGUGCAAGCGUUAAUCGGAAUUACUGGGCGUAAAGCGUGCGCAGGCGGUUUGCUAAGACCGAUGUGAAAUCCCCGGGCUCAACCUGGGAACUGCAUUGGUGACUGGCAGGCUAGAGUAUGGCAGAGGGGGGUAGAAUUCCACGUGUAGCAGUGAAAUGCGUAGAGAUGUGGAGGAAUACCGAUGGCGAAGGCAGCCCCCUGGGCCAAUACUGACGCUCAUGCACGAAAGCGUGGGGAGCAAACAGGAUUAGAUACCCUGGUAGUCCACGCCCUAAAACGAUGUCAACUAGUUGUUGGGGAUUCAUUUCCUUAGUAACGUAGCUAACGCGUGAAGUUGACCGCCUGGGGAGUACGGUCGCAAGAUUAAAACUUAAAUGAAUUGACGGGGUCAUAGCUGUUUCCU